rnacentral:rRNA from 1 species
CUACGGGGUGCACCAGUGGGGAAUUUUGGACAAUGGGCGAAAGCCUGAUCCAGCAAUGCCGCGUGUGUGAAGAAGGCCUUCGGGUUGUAAAGCACUUUUGUCCGGAAAGAAAUGGCUCUGGUUAAUACCUGGGGUCGAUGACGGUACCGGAAGAAUAAGGACCGGCUAACUACGUGCCAGCAGCCGCGGUAAUACGUAGGGUCCAAGCGUUAAUCGGAAUUACUGGGCGUAAAGCGUGCGCAGGCGGUUGUGCAAGACCGAUGUGAAAUCCCCGAGCUUAACUUGGGAAUUGCAUUGGUGACUGCACGGCUAGAGUGUGUCAGAGGGGGGUAGAAUUCCACGUGUAGCAGUGAAAUGCGUAGAGAUGCGGAGGAAUACCGAUGGCGAAGGCAGCCCCCUGGGAUAACACUGACGCUCAUGCACGAAAGCGUGGGGAGCAAACAGGAUUAGAUACCCUAGUAGUC